AUACGAGAUAUCUUGCGUGACUGGAGUUCAGACGUGUGCUCUUCCGAUCUAGCCGAUGCCGGACAAAGGUAGUGCCCGUACUAAAACCGACACAGGUAGGCGAGAUGAAUAUUCUAAGGCGCUCGAGAGAACGCUCGUGAAGGAACUCUGCAAAUUAACCCCGUAACUUCGGGAGAAGGGGUGCCCUUGUUAGUGAAGCCGCAAGGUGGAGCUUUCGGGGGCCGCAGUGAAAUGGAUCUGGCGACUGUUUACUAAAAACACAGGUCUCUGCGAACACGUAAGUGGAGGUAUAGAGACUGACGCCUGCCCGGUGCCGGUAAGUUAAGGAAGAGGGUUAGCCCCUUAAAAGGUGAAGCUCGCAACCGAAGCUCCGGUAAACGGCGGCCGUAACUAUGACGGUCCUAAGGUAGCGAAGUUCCUUGUCGGGUAAGUUCCGACCUGCAUGAAUGGCGUAACGACCGGAUCACUGUCUCCACGAGCGACUCGGUGAAACUGUAGUUGUUGUGAAGAUGCAACAUACCCGCAACUAGACGGAAAGACCCCGUGAACCUUUACUGUAGCUUAGUAUUGGGUUUAGGCCCAGCAUGCGUAGUGUAGCUGGGAGGCUGUGAAGGGAGUUCUCCGGAACUUCCGGAGCCGACGCUGAAACACCAGCCUUGUUGUGCUUGAAUUCUAACCCCGACCCGUGAAACCGGGCGGCGGACAGUGCUAAGUGGGCAGUUUGACUGGGGCGGUCUCCUCCUAAAGAGUAACGGAGGAGUUCAAAGGUACCCUCAGCCUGGUCGGCAAUCAGGCUUCGAGCGCAAAGGUAGAAGGGUGCUUGACUGCGAGUCCAAUCAGACGAGCAGGUGCGAAAGCAGGACUUAGUGAUCCGGCGGUGCUGGAUGGAAAGGCCGUCGCUCAACAGAUAAAAGGUACUCCGGGGAUAACAGGCUUAUCUCCUCUGAGCGUUCACAGCGGCGAGGAGGUUUGGCACCUCGAUGUCGGCUCAUCGCAUCCUGGGGGUGUAGAAGCUCCCAAGGGUUAGGCUGUUCGCCUAUUAAAGCGGUACGUGAACUGGGUUCAGAACGUCGCGAGACAGUUCGGUCCCUAUCUGCUGUGGGCGUAGGAAAUUUAGAUCGGAAGAGCACACGU
rnacentral:rRNA from 1 species